GCGCCGGUGGUGUAAUGCCGUAGAGCAUUCCCGCCCGGUCAGAGGGAGGUGCGGGUUCGAGUCCCGCCUGGCGCU
rfam:Heligmosomoides polygyrus genome assembly, scaffold: HPBE_scaffold0014810